rnacentral:rRNA from 1 species
CCUACGGGUUGCAGCAGUAGGGAAUCUUCGGCAAUGGACGAAAGUCUGACCGAGCAACGCCGCGUGAGUGAAGAAGGUUUUCGGAUCGUAAAACUCUGUUGGUAGAGAAGAACGUUGGUGAGAGUGGAAAGCUCAUCAAGUGACGGUAACUACCCAGAAAGGGACGGCUAACUACGUGCCAGCAGCCGCGGUAAUACGUAGGUCCCGAGCGUUGUCCGGAUUUAUUGGGCGUAAAGCGAGCGCAGGUGGUUUAUUAAGUCUGGUGUAAAAGGCAGUGGCUCAACCAUUGUAUGCAUUGGAAACUGGUAGACUUGAGUGCAGGAGAGGAGAGUGGAAUUCCAUGUGUAGCGGUGAAAUGCGUAGAUAUAUGGAGGAACACCGGUGGCGAAAGCGGCUCUCUGGCCUGUAACUGACACUGAGGCUCGAAAGCGUGGGGAGCAAACAGGAUUAGAUACCCUCGUAGUC